AGAAAAGGCAUUAAAUACUGUGUUAACUACGAGUUAAAAGUUAAACAGCAGACUUGACAACUCAGACUCAAAAACUCAAAGAUAGGAAAGAUGGUUUUAAAAUCUUAUUAAUUUUACUUGAAUCUUUGGAAAUUGAAUAAUAUUUUUUCCUUUUCUUUUCAGAGAAAAAAAUAUCCUAAGAGGCCAGGAGGGUUAUUCCUAUGAAAUGUUUUUUUUUUUUGUUCUCCAAAGCUAUUGUCAACUGGAUUACACAUUUUCCAAAUAAAGUCUCUUAUAUAAGCUUUCCUUGGGAUUUAUCUUUAUUGAAAGUGAUAUAACUUCAGAUAGAGGCUGAUUUGACCAAACAAAUGACUGUGACUCAGUCUUCUGGUUGACCAUUAUCAUGUAAGAAAACUCAGGUAAUUCCAGAAAUCAUUGUUUUGAGAAGAUAUAAUGAAUUAAAGUGCAAGUUGGAUUGAGACAUGGGGACUCUGAAGAAAGAACAGAUAUGUGGCUAUUGGAAUGUGACUGAAAAAUACCUAAACUUUCAGUGACAAUGGCAAUGGAAGGCAAAGAAACCUAUGGGACCAUUUUAGAUCUGUGGUAGACUGGACAUGGGAAGAGAAUGACUAGAGCACUCAACAUUGAACGCUUCCUAUAUGCCUGGUACUCUGCAGAGCUCUGGGAAUGAAAAGGUGAGCAGAGGCUUAUAUUAGAAACAUAAUUCAAUUUAUGGUCAUAUUCAACAUCUCUCCCAGUUUAACAGCGUCUUCUUUAGUCCUUGGAAAUUAUAGGCCCCUAUUCCCUUUCGCACACUCUCAUUCCCAAGUCACAACCAAAUGGGUCAGAAAUGUAUACUUGCCCUGACACCAGGCAGUCAAUGGACCA